rnacentral:ncRNA from 2 species
GUAGUUGAACCUGCGGAAGGAUCAUUA